UAUGCCUGAUCUGCCAAACAAGAUGAUCAUGCGCUCAUCCCAGAUCGUCCACGCAUGGCAGUACGAUCCUUCAAGCAGUCGAUCUGUCCUUCUACUGACAAGCUUCAGGCAGGAGAAGGAAAUUGCUGCUUAGUGCAGCUUGAAUGCUAGCAUGCCCUUUUCUGGUGCAAUUGCUAAAGAAAUGAAGAGAUUUCGGGAUGAGUUCAUCAGGGAGCAGCAGCAAGACAUCAUAUUAAGAAACCAAAAGUAUCGCACUUAUUCGCUACUUGUGGCAUAGAAGUAAAAGAAUCAUAAGCACACAAGUUCUCUUUAUCACAUGAAACAAAGUAAUUCAUCUUGUGUCAAAGUUAAAUAAGCAGUGGGUUCUACUAUUUGUUGCUCUUCAUUAGCAUGUAGAGUGGAUAAAUUUUGUACAUAUGGGUGACAUUAUUAUUGCAAGUAUUCAUUGAUAAUAGAAUCUUCUUUUU